GGGAUUCAACAUUUCAUGGAGACUCUGAUUUAGCCUCUCCUAGGCUUUGUCUGUUCAGAGAAUUACAUCACUAGACAUAGCCUAAAAGAGGUUAGUUCAAGUUAUCCGAACCAUCAUUAGGCUAAG
rnacentral:pre_miRNA from 12 species